rnacentral:rRNA from 1 species
ACGCUGGCGGCAGGCUUAACACAUGCAAGUCGAACGGUAGCAGGAGAAAGCUUGCUUUCUUGCUGACGAGUGGCGGACGGGUGAGUAAUGCUUGGGAAUCUGGCUUAUGGAGGGGGAUAACUACGGGAAACUGUAGCUAAUACCGCGUAGUGUCGAGAGACAAAAGUGCGGGACCGCAAGGCCGCAUGCCAUGAGAUGAGCCCAAGUGGGAUUAGGUAGUUGGUGGGGUAAAGGCCUACCAAGCCUGCGAUCUCUAGCUGGUCUGAGAGGAUGGCCAGCCACACUGGAACUGAGACACGGUCCAGACUCCUACGGGAGGCAGCAGUGGGGAAUAUUGCGCAAUGGGGGGAACCCUGACGCAGCCAUGCCGCGUGAAUGAAGAAGGCCUUCGGGUUGUAAAGUUCUUUCGGUAUUGAGGAAGGUUGAUGUGUUAAUAGUACAUCAAAUUGACGUUAAAUACAGAAGAAGCACCGGCUAACUCCGUGCCAGCAGCCGCGGUAAUACGGAGGGUGCGAGCGUUAAUCGGAAUAACUGGGCGUAAAGGGCACGCAGGCGGUUAUUUAAGUGAGGUGUGAAAGCCCCGGGCUUAACCUGGGAAUUGCAUUUCAGACUGGGUAACUAGAGUACUUUAGGGAGGGGUAGAAUUCCACGUGUAGCGGUGAAAUGCGUAAAGAUGUGGAGGAAUACCGAAGGCGAAGGCAGCCCCUUGGGAAUGUACUGACGCUCAUGUGCGAAAGCGUGGGGAGCAAACAGGAUUAGAUACCCUGGUAGUCCACGCUGUAAACGCUGUCGAUUUGGGGAUUGGGCUUAAAUCUUGGUGCCCGUAGCUAACGUGAUAAAUCGACCGCCUGGGGAGUACGGCCGCAAGG